GGGUGAAGGUGCUCCCACAAUGUGGUUGGGAUGAGGCUGUCACUGGCUCGGCCAGCAUUUCUUGCUGCGUUUACCCAGAGGGCAGUUAAGAGUCAACCACGUUGCUAUAGGUCUGGAGUCCCAUGCAGACCAGACCAGAUCCCAGUGAUCAGUGCCAAAGCCCCAUUGCCUGUGGAGAAGGUGAUGUUUGAUUUCCCUGUCCAGCUGCAAUUCAUGUGGUGAAGGUGCUCCCACAAUGUGGUUGGGUCACCGUUCAGCCUCUGAUGCUCCAAGGAAAGCAGCCUAUCCAAACCUGGCAACAUCCUAUAAUUAUUUUCUGACCCCUUUCAAGUUUGAGAACAUCCAUCUGAUCGGAAGGAGACCAGAAUUGCAUGGAAUAUUACAAAAGUUGCCGAAUCAAUGUCCUGUACAGCCUCAGUAUGACCUCUCAAUGCUGUGACCAAUAAAGGCAAGCAGACAAACUGCCGCCCUUCACUAUUCUAUCUACUUGCUACUCUACUUUCAAGGAACUAUGAACCUGCACUCCAAGGACUCUUUGUUUAGCAGCACUCCCUAGGAACUUACUAUUAACUGUAUAAGUCCUGCUAAAGUAUGUUUCGUGAUGUUUAACUUCUCAAAUUGGACUGGAGUUUAAUAUUCUGGAGAAAUGUCAAAUAAAUCGCAUUUAUCCCAUUCUGCAGAACUUAGUCCAUCGCCCUGCACGUUCCAACAUUUCAGUUCCAUCCACGUACUUUUAUUCAAAUGUAAUGCUGGUAACUGCCUCUGUCACCCCAUCAGUGAGAUCCUGCUCUCCACCAUUUCUGUGGGAAAUACAUUCUCCUUUCCCCUUUUUUUCUGAGAAUUAUCUUCAAUCUAAAACUUCUAGUUCCUGAUGGCUCUGUUAUUGAAUAGCUGCUUCCUAUCCAUUCUACCUGGAUUCCUCAGCAUUUUAUCACAUCAAUUUAAUCUCAGUUCAUCUUCCUUGGAAACCCCCCACCCCCCAACCUAUCCAAUCUUUCCUCAGAGCAGAAAUUCUCCAAUCAGAGAAAAAAUUCUGAUCAAUCUUCUCUGUCCCCUCUCUGGUGUGAUCACAUCAAUCCUGGAAUGUGGGGACAAUGAGUGAGUGCAGUACUUUCGCCUUGGUCAAACUAGUGUUCCAGUGUCACUUCUGUGUUCUUGUGGUUGUUGCUGAUACAAGAAGUGUCCUGGUUUUCCCACAUGGAACUGGAUGUGCACUCCAUGGGACUGGGAUUCCCUACCGUGUGUGUAUUUGUUAACUAAUCCUAAAUUAACUUCACAUUAAAACAGAAUUAUCAGAUACCCACCAAUAAAUUUCUUCCAUUAUACUCAAAUCACCUUACUUUUAAUAUCUCUUUAAAAUUAUUACUAACACAACAGGCUUUAAUUUGCUGAAUAAGUAUUCAGGUAUCUUCACUGUUACAAUCACUUGAAGAUUAUCUUUACCUUCAGCUACACGUGGUGAAUUGAACACUGAUUGUAAACAUAUUAAUAUCAAAUGGACUUCAGUUUUAUGAUGAUUCAUCCAGUCUGACAUUCUUGUUGAUUAAUAUCUUGGAGAGAACUGUCUUCAGGACUCCAGCUGUCCUUUGUCUUCAAUCACAACUGGUUGUGGCUGGACUACAGAUCUUAGAUCUGUUCCGUUGUUUACUGGAUUGCUUCGCUCUGUCUAUCACUUGCUGCUUAUGCUGUUUGGUAGCUUCAUCAGGUGAACACCCCAUUUUUAGGUAUUCAUGCUGCUGUUACUGACAUGCCCUCCUGAAUUCUCUCAGUUGAAUGAGGGCUGAUCCUCUGGUUUGAUGGAAGGAGGGAAGCUGGGGAAUAUGCUGGGCCGUGAUUCUGUAAGCUUUGUUGGAGUACGACUCUACUGUUGUUGGAAGGCAAGAGCUAAACUCUUGCACUGUAAACCCGAUGUACAAGAAGCUACAGGCAGUAUCAUAAACACUGACAGUCCAAGACAUGAAAUACGAGCAACACUGUACAAUGAUGCAGGAUCACAACUGCAGCAAGGGGAGAUUAAGAUCCAACUUGACAUAGGAGUAUGGAAAGAAGCAGCUGAUCAAAUUGUCUUAUUCACAGUCAUAAAGAGACUCUGUGAGAUUAUUGUACUCUUAGGGUUGAGGAUGGAGGAGGUUGGGUAGAUGAGGAGCUCUUCAAAGGAAAGUAAUCUGCCUAAGAGUUAUGGGAUCGACUUGAUUGCUAGGUAUUUAACAGAAAGCUAAUUGAAACUGUUUUUAUCCCCAAAAGAUAACAAGACUGAUGGUGUUUCCAAUCAUGAUCAGAAACAAACCUCAGAAUACAUGGUUCAUAGAUGGAUGUCAAUAGCCCAUCAACAUCCAACUCCUGCAAUUAUUCAGCAAAUGUAUGUGUGAUUAACUAGUCCUGAUGUCAGUCCUGAUAUACCAGAAAAUCGCUGUUUACUCUGUGCAGAUGGACAGCAUAGUGAGGAAGUAUUGGCCGAGUGAUAUUGUCGCUAGACAGUUCAUCCAAAGCCCCAGAUAAAGUUCUGGAGACCUGCGUUCAAAGCCUGCUGCAGCAGAUGGGGGAAUUUGAAUUAAAUUUUUAAAAACUUGAAAAUUGAAGAAUCUAAUGACGACCAUUAAUCGAUUGCCAGAAAACCCCAUCUGGAUCACUAAUGUCCUUUCAGGAAGGAAGCUGCCAUCCUUACCUAGUCUGGCCUACAUUGUGACUUCAGACCCACAAAAAUGUGGUCGACUCUUACCUGCCCUCUGGGCAAUUAGGGAUGGGCAGUAAAUGCUGCCGGGCCAGUGACACCCUCAUCCUGUGAAUGAAUAAAGGAAAAUAAAAGUCUCUACCCAGCGUGAA